CAUAGGACGCUAGAUGUGAACAAGGUGUGAAGAGCCUAUUGAGCUACACGAGAGUCCUCCGGCCCCUGAAUGCGGCUAAUCCUAACCACGGAGCAAGCGGUCACGAACCAGUGGCUGGCUUGUCGUAACGCGCAAGUCUGUGGCGGAACCGACUACUUUGGGUGUCCGUGUUUCCUGUUAUUUUUAUCAUGGCUGCUUAUGGUGACAAUCUGUGAUUGUUAUCAUAAAGCGAUUUGGAUUGGCCAUCCGGUG
rfam:Human poliovirus 2 partial VP1 gene for polyprotein, strain PV2/4568_1/ISR99, genomic RNA